UUGGUGUGGUGGCACAUGCUUUUAAUUCCAGCUUUGACUAGCUAGAUCUUAGAGCCUCACUGGCCAGCCAGCUUAGCCUACUUGGCGAGCUUCAGGGCAGUGAGAAAUCAAGUCAAGAAAAGAAGUUAGUGCUGAGGAAAAGUUUGACUAAGUCUGUGUGCUAUUGUUCCUCAAAGUGUGUAGAACAGUUAAUCAUGUUGUAAAAUGCAUAGCAUAAAAAUAAUUUAGCACCCUCACAUUUUUUUUUUUCAGUAGAGAUGGAACACAAGGUUUCAUGCAUGUGAGGCAAGGACUUUACUACCAAAUAACUAUAUCCAUAAUCUUUAACAUACCUUUAAAAAAAAAGAUUUUAUUGAUUUUAUUUAUACCACAGGUAUACCAUCUCUGUCCUCAGACAUUUAAAUAGAAAGUAAACUACUCAGCUUAGUAGAAGUUUUAAUUUUAACUCUGCACACAGGCUAGGCCAUCAAAGGUAACAUCAUUUCAUUACUUUUAAGUAGACGUUGGGGAUAUACAUCUGGCAUUCAUAUUUCGCUAUUGAAAUAAACAGGUUGUAAACAUUUUAAAAUUUGAUUAAAAUGUAAACAGAACAUGAGUAUUUUAUAUUUUUCCUUGUAGUAGUGGAAAAGCUGUUUAACACUCAUCUUUGGAAAUAAUCAUUCUUUACAUUCCAUAAAAAUAUAAGCUAGAAAACAAUUUAAUAAAUACUGUUGGAUUGGGGAUAUAGCCCAGAGACAGACUCUUGCUUUGCAUGCACAAGGCCCUGAGGUUCUUUGCCAGCACCAGAAUCAGUGGCUCAAUGUAUUAUUCAAUUUCUGAAACAUGAUUAGUUGUUUUAUAAUGUUCUCUAAAAUACUACCUUAAAAUACUUUCAUUAAAGAAAUUGUGUAGGCCCCUGUACUUUUUGGAGUACAGGUGAAUGCUCCAUUGAUAUUACUAUUUUUAUUCUAGGCAUUCAGUGAAAUUCAAGGACUAACAGACCAGGCAGAUAAAUUGAUAGGGCAGAAAAAUCUCCUGAGUCGAAAACGAAGUAUUUUAAUACGGAAGGUAUCGUCUCUUUCAGGUAAGCUCUUUAAGCGUCUCUGAGAAAGAGAGAGCAUAGUGCCAGCAUUAGCACGGACUCCAAGCCUUUCAGAGUCUGUGGAGGUAAAGGAUUGGCAUCUCAGGCUUGCACCAGGGUAACUUUGACUGAGCACAUCAUAUUUUCUGAAUCAUAAUAAUCACAUUUGCCUCUCAGAGUUCUAGGGAAUAUAGUUAAAUCAGUUAGAUAACAGCUGUUUCUCAUUGUUAUAUGGUAUCAUGCACAGAGUGAUGCUUUACUGCCUAUUUACCUUCAGGGAAGACAGAAGAAGUGGUCCUGAAGAAGCUAGAGUAUAUUUAUGCAAAACAACAAGCACUAGAAGC
rnacentral:lncRNA from 1 species